UACAGUUUAGGAAAAGGCAAAGUCG
rnacentral:piRNA from 1 species